GACGAACGCUGGCGGCGUGCCUAACACAUGCAAGUCGAACGGAAAGGCCCUGCUCUUGUGGGGCGCACGAGUGGCGAACGGGUGAGAAACACGCGAGUAACCCGCCCCUGACUGUGGGAUAACUUCAGGAAACUGGGGCUAAUACCGGAUAGGAGCUCCUGCUGCACGGUGGGGGUUGGAAAGUUUCGGCGGCAGGGGAUGGACUCGCGGCUUAUCCGCUUGUUGGUGGGGUAGGGGCUGACCAAGGCUUUGACGGGUAGCCGGCCUGAGAGGGUGACCGGCCACAUUGCGCCUGAGAGACGGACCAGACUCCUACGGGAGGCAGCAGUGGAGAAUAUUGCGCAGUGGGCGGGAGCCUGAUGCAGCGGCGCCGCGUGCGGGAUGACGGCCUUCGGGUUGUGAACCGCUUUCGCCUGUGACGAAGCGUGAGUGACGGUAAUGGGUAAAGAAGCACCGGCUAACUACGUG
rnacentral:rRNA from 1 species